ensembl:lncRNA
GACCUCCGGACCCUCGACGCUCGGCACCAGGUCCGCGGGCGGGCGAUCGCAGCAUCGGAGUCUCGUUCAUGCGCAUCUCCAGUGAGAAGAUCUACGACCUUCUGGGUAGCGAACUUCCUCUUACUGUUUCCAGUGGAACUUUUUUAUUUCAAACCGAGCGGGGCUGAGGUGACGUCCGACUCCGGUCCCCGCAGGACAGCCAGCCGGCCGAGGUGUGCGGCAUCCGCGAGGGGGACGACUUCGUGCUCCUGGAGGGCCUCGACGAGGUGGAGGUGGACUCGGCCCAGUCUCUGCCGCAGCUCUGCCGACGGGGAGCCGCCAGCCGGCUCCCGGGCGUCCCGUCCCGUCCCGUCCCGUCGAGCUCCGGUCUCGUCCUCGUUCCUCGCCGCCGGCGUCACCCUGCCUCCUCUCUCGGCAACAGGGGCGUCCAGGGGAGGAUUCGCCAGCAGGAGCCACAUCAUCUUCAACGCGUCGGUCAUCAGCCGCAGGCCGCACAGUCACCACAGUCGGGAGGGACUGGGCGCUGGCAGCAAGCUCACCCCGGUAAGGGUCUCGGGCGGCCGCCGAUUGUGGGAAGCUGCUGACGCCGGUGGGGCUGGACGCGAUGCUCAUGUCCACGCUUUACCUGUCCUCAGGUGGACCUCGCCAGCCCUGCGAAGAUUCAAGAAAACACAUUUUAAAAGUAAUAUUGUGGUACGCCGGAGUGUCCCGUCCUUCCAGUUGCGGCCGAGCAGUUCAGCUGCACGCGCUUCGAAUCCCUGCAGCGCGCUGUGUGAGAAGUGCAGCCUGACUAAAGAACAGUGUGUCGCAUUGGUGUCGCCGUGGGACAUUAUCUGUCUCGAGCAGUUUCCCAUUUUUCCCAGAGCUCAAUAGUUCCAACGGCAAAUGAUUCCCUUCGUGCCAAGUCUCCGCCCGGACGACAGGGAGCGCAAGUCCUUCCUGCCCCCCCCUGCGCGGGGUGGCGCCGGGGGCGGGACGGGCGUCUCCCUCACGCUCCCUGCCGGGGGUCCGGGACCUCGAGGCCGGCGGGCGGGAGAGGGGGGCCGGGCCGACGGGCGGCACCGGGGAGUGCCCCACCUGCCGGCGGGAACGGGCCAUCCGGCACGGGUACGACAAGUACGUCGUCCGGGCGAACGAGGAGAGGGAGGAGCUCGGCCAGCGGGUGGCGCCGCUGGAGGCCAGGCUGCGGAGCAGCGCUGUUGAGGAGCAGCGUCAGGAGCCUGCGGGGGCCCCUGGGGGGACACGAACCCGUAGCACGGGGACAGCGGCUGUGUGUGAGGUGGGUGGGGUACGGAGGGGGAGGCGCAUUCGAACCAGACGGAGCAUCAUUCUUACGAAGCCGUGCUAUUAUUCCUCAUGUUUCCCGGACCGAUGAGAAGAAUUAAGAAGGAAUAAGAACUUUAGUGGCCAAAUGUAUUUAUUAUUUAUACUAUAUGUGUAUAAAUGUGAGGGGGGGCGCCGUGGCGCAGUGGGUUGGUCCCGGUCCUGCUCUCCGGUGGGUCUGGGGUUCGAGUCUCGCUUGGGGUGCCUUGCGACGGACUGGCGUCCCGCCCUGUGUUGCCAGGUUAGGCUCUGGCUCCCCGUGACCCUGAAUGGGACAAGCGGUUCAGAUGGUGUGUGUGUGUGUGUGUGUGUGUGUGUGUGUGUGUGUGUGUGUGUCUGUGUGUGUGUAAAUGUUUGACGCUUGAUGAGUACUGACCACACAGUGGUUCCUGUUACCUUCUUGUGCCCCAGGAGAGGCUGCAGAGGGAGGAGGAGGAGCUACAGGAGGACUGCGGCGAGGAGAAGGAGGCGCUGGGGGGAGGGGGUCCGCUGCGCUGCAGGGCAGAACUGGAGCUUCGAGACCUGAAGGUCCAGCGGGAGAAGGAUCGGCUGCUGCUUCGCUGCCUGAAAGAGCGGAAGGUAGCGGAAAGGGGGCGGGUCUGAAAGCAGCCAAACGCCCCCCCACCGGUGGGAGGAGCUUCGUCGCACUGGGUUAGGGUUAGCGUGUCGCUUUCCGCCCCGUCCACCAAGGAGACCCUGUCCGCAGAGCUCGAGGACACCAGGGACGAGUGCGAGAGGUUCAAGGAGAGCAUCGCCCUCGCUGUAGCGCAGCUCCAGAAGGAGAAGGUGAUCCACUCGCUCCAGCAAAUGCCCACACACUGCAGCUGUGUACCAGCCAGGGUUAGGGUAUCAGUUAGGGUGUCAGAGCUCCUUGUUCAUUUCAUGCUGUUACAUUUUCACAGGACAAACUACUGCUGCAAAUAUAAGAGAAAGACAUGUGCCAUGAAAAAGUGAGCUCUAUUAUGCUAAUAUUAAUAUUAAAUAUGUAUCGCAGUGCAGUGUUUUACAGCGCUGUUGUCCGGCCCCGCUGUUGGGCUCCCGUGUGCUUCACCGCUGCCCCCGCAGGUCGUGGCAGAGAACGCAAGUCUGAAGGAGGAGGUGGAGGAACUGCUGAAUGUGACGGGUUCUAGAAGGUUCUGCCCCGCUCAUCCAAACCAGCUCGCCAGCAGUACGGCGGCGCUCGUGUCACACGAGGGGUCCGAACGCUGCCCGAAAGGUGGCUUCGCAGGAAACUGGCUCCUCCCGCCUCAUCGAAGACUCGCGGAUCCAUUCAACGAAAGAACAAACGGAGGAGCGAACAAGAAGCGAACGGGAACUUUAUUCAUCCCAGAGGAAAUGCGCACAGAGUAUCCGUACGCUCCUUUCUUGUCAUGUUUUCAGAGGUCUGCUCUCAUAGCUCCGCCCCCCACGGAAGUCCCAGCAGCCCCGUGGUGGCGAACGACGACAACGACGGCGACGGGCUCCUUCGUAUGAAAGACGUCUUCGGACAGCCGUGAGCGACGGAGCGAACCCGGGGACUGGCGCUGGGGUCUAGGCCUGUUCUCCCACCCAAGUAGCAGUCCACACUGUGUCCACGUGCGCGUCACUUGGGUCGCAUGCGUUACUUUGUCCACUGGUGUGUCACGUUGUUCAUGUGUGUAUUACUGCGCCCUUCGGUGCCUUACUUUGUGCACACGUGUUCGUACUGCAGGCCGAUAUUUACUCUCUCGACUUUUUGCUUCCGGUUGCUGCUCUGAGCAACAGGAGGCAAGAGCACGGCCCUCUGCGGGACGUGAUGCUCGUCUCGUAGCGGCGCCGGUGGUUCAGAGAGGACGCCGUGCCGUACGUCAGGAGGACCCUCGUUAAGUGCGGGAUGCAGCUAGACCUGCUGGACUGGAACUGACCGCUGGAAGUGACCUCAGCCCAGAACCCACACCAGCAGUUUGAGAAUUUCAGAUAUUUUAUAAAUUCAGUUUCAGUUUAAACCUUAAUAUCUCUGAAACCCUGCUCUCCAGAGACGCCACCGUUGGCUGUACCUGUACAAAGUGUUCACCUCGAAUGAACCGACAUGACGUCUCAGCUAGUGUUUGGCCAGAGACUCUGAUGCAAAGCGUAAGAAGGUCCUACGAUCCAAUGAGACAAAAACUGAGCUUUCUGUCUAUUUAAAGAAACACUGUUUGCCAUGAGGCAAACCUGCACAUGACCACAAACACACCAUCCCUGCUGUUAAGCCUGGUGGUGGCAGCAUCAUGCUGUGGGGAUGCUUCUUGGCACCAGGGCUUAGAAAGUUUACUGAUAGAGGGUAAAAUGAGUGCAGUAAGUUAAAGGGAAACCAUGGAGGAAAACCGGCUGUAGUCUCCAAGAGAAGUAGGAGAUUAAUUUUACAGCUGGUCUGCGACCCUCGACACAAGGAUGAAGCUAUGCAGGAAUGAGUUAGAAACACGUCUCUGUCCUGGAGUGGCCUGGAGAUCUCAGGCCCGCACUUCACUCCCGGUCGCAACGAGCUGGACAGAACCUGAGCAGUUUUCAUAAAGAAAUGGGCUAAAUUGCAGUGUCAAGAUGUGCAAACCUGGAACAGAUUUCUAUCGAUAAAAUAUAGCUCAUAAAGUGCCUUGACUGAAUAUUGGCUUGUUGGGGUCAAUACUUAUGCACUCGGUUAUUUUGUUCGAUUCUUCUAAUUAAUUCAGAAUUUUUUUCCAGAAAUGCUUUAACACAAAAGACAUUUGUUCUGAUCAGUCACAAAAAAACGUGAUGAAAUGCACUGUGACUCCAGUUUAUGUUAAAAAAAAAAAAAACAUGAAAAAGUUCUGAAAAGUUUGGGGGGGUGAAUGUUUUUUACAAGGGCUGCAAAUGAAAGGACACUUCAGCCCUGAGUGAAUAAAGUGUUAAAUAUUUUCA